CCAAUCCCAUCGCGGCGAAGCUAACGCGAUAAGCGAUCCGCCUGGGGAGUACGGUCGCAAGGCUGAAACUCAAAGGAACUGACGGGGGCCCGCACAAGCGGUGGAGCAUGUGGUUCAAUUCGACGCAACGCGAAGAACCUUACCUGGGCUCGAAAUGUAGUGGACCGGGGUGGAAACAUCCCUUCCCGCAAGGGCCGCUAUAUAGGUGCUGCAUGGCUGUCGUCAGCUCGUGUCGUGAGAUGUUGGGUUAAGUCCCGCAACGAGCGCAACCCUUAUUGCCAGUUACUAACACAUCAUGGUGAGAACUCUGGCGAAACUGCCUCGGAUAACGAGGAGGAAGGUGGGGAUGACGUCAAGUCCUCAUGGCCUUUAUGUCCAGGGCUACACACGUGCUACAAUGGUCGGUACAAACCGUCGCAAACCCGCGAGGGGGAGCUAAUCGGAAAAAGCCGGCCUCAGUUCGGAUUGGAGUCUGCAACUCGACUCCAUGAAGCUGGAAUCGCUAGUAAUCGCGGAUCAGCACGCCGCGGUGAAUACGUUCCCGGGCCUUGUACACACCGCCCGUCACAUCACGAAAGUGGGUUGUACUAGAAGUCGUCGUGCCAACCGCAAGGAGGCAGACGCCCAAGGUAUAAUUCAUG
rnacentral:rRNA from 1 species